rnacentral:lncRNA from 1 species
UAGAUCAUCUCAAAGGUUCUUUCCAAUUCCUAUGACCACUGGAAGGUGAAAAGGUAGUAUAUCUCCUAAUGCAGGACGGAUCACUUGGAUAAUGGGGCAAGCAAAGGUCCUUUGUAAGAUCUUUUGUCUCGUUGGCUUUUUCUUUCUCCAGGAGGUGUCUGGAGAAGUGAUGGCAAAAAAGACUGACUCUUGAAGCCUGAUACCCCAACAUCUCCAUCUGCCAGUGCAGCUGAUCUGACCUGAUGGCUUUUUAUUUCUUACUGAGAAUAGCUAAGGCCCUCUGGCUCUUGACUGUUUUGAAUGCCAUGGAAAAUUCAGUGACAAGAAAGACGAAGAACUCCUCUUCAGCAUGACCACAGUAGGAGAGUCUCACCUUCAGCAUGGGAUGCGUCUCAGAUUUAAGAAUCAAGAAGCCACGUUGGUGAUUCAGAACAUCCAAUUUUCCCAUUGUGGAGUCUACCGGUGGCAUCUUUCAGGCCAAGGGUCCUCAAAUAAGUUCACUACACUAACUGUUUCAGGAGGUUGGGGUUCACCGACAUUAAUUCCCUUCUUGAGUCAUACGGGCAAGCACACGUCUCCCUCUGCCACGUGCUUCUAGAGGACAUGUUCAUAUUCUGCUAUCACCCAGAUGUUGCUGCCAUCAGAGGAGAAUUGGUACUUGCUCAGUGGUUCUGCCAAAAGGCAGCUACUAUUGCCUACUGGGUGGGAAAGAGAAGAGAGGUCCCUUCACUCCAUCCCCCCCCGACUUUGGAAGAAAGGUAUAAGAGC